UACGUAGGCAGCAAGCGUUGUUCGGAGUUACUGGGCGUAAAGGGUGUGUAGGCGGUUGGAUAAGUGUGGUGUGAAAUCUCCCGGCUUAACUGGGAGGGUGCGCUAUAGACUGCGGGGCUCGAGUGUGGGAGAGGAAAGUGGAAUUCCUGGUGUAGCGGUGAAAUGCGUAGAUAUCAGGAGGAACACCGGUGGUGUAAACGGCUUUCUGGACCAUAACUGACGCUGAGGCACGAAAGCGUGGGUAGCAAACAGG
rnacentral:rRNA from 1 species